CCUACGGGAGGCAGCAGUGAGGAAUAUUGGUCAAUGGCCGGAAGGCUGAACCAGCCAUGCCGCGUGAAGGUCAGUGCCCUAUGGGCGUUAAACUUCUUUUGUGCGGGAGCAAUAAUGGUCACGUGUGGCCAGACGAGAGUACCGUACGAAUAAGCAUCGGCUAACUCCGUGCCAGCAGCCGCGGUAAUUCGGGGGAUGCAAGCGUUAUCCGGAUUUAAUGGGUUUAAAGGGUGCGUAGGCUGGGAGGUAAGUCAGCGGUGAAAUGCCGCCGCUCAACGGGGUGAAGUGCCAUUGAUACUGCCUUGCUGGAGUGCGGAUGCCGUGGGAGGAAGGUGUGGUGUAGCGGUGAAAUGCAUAGAUAGCACACAGAACACCGAUUGCGAAGGCAUCUCACGAAUCCGCGAUUGACGCUGAUGCACGAAAGCGUGGGUAUCAAACAGGAUUAGAUACCCUGGUAGUC
rnacentral:rRNA from 1 species